CAACCCUUACGUCCUGUAGCGUAGUGUUAGGACUCUACUCUUUCGAGAGCAGUUCCCCAAAACCAGUGGCAGUGUUCGGUACACUCAUAGCGUAGUAAUUCUUCUCGCUUCUGCAGUGGCCCGUACGAUUCGCCGUAAAACCCCCCUAUUUUCUAAUGG
rnacentral:misc_RNA from 1 species